rnacentral:lncRNA from 1 species
GCAUGAAAACAGUAACUUCUAUUAAAAAUAAGGAUAUUUCCAUGUUUAACCUUAUUAUCGAUGUUUAUUAAAAUUGGAUAUGAAAAAGGUGCACAAUGACAGAUGACGUAGGUUGUGCCCCUUUUUAUCGCCCGGUGCAAUGCAUGGGCAUUCUUACUAGUAAUAAUUACAUGUAGGCCUAUUUUUGAAUGCCUAUUUUUCAAUUGUUUUGGGAAUUAGACUAAGGAGUAAUGAUUGUUAUUGGCUUGUUGCAGAUCGAAGAUGCCAAGAAGACAACUAAUGUGCCAGGAGGUGAAGGUACUAACAGAAGUUGCCUCAACUUGUUGAAGCUUUAGAUUUUUGUUUCCUCUUUAAAUAGAUGGUAACCUCAGCUUCAUCCUCAAUGGCUCAUGAUAUUGUAGUAUCUCUUCAUCUAAUUUAUACAUUACAAGUAAACUGAAUGUGUCAAGACAAUGCACAAAAGAGGUGCAACAUAACUAAAUAAGGCCCAGCCAUGUUUCCUCUAUAACAUCUAAUAGUUCAGUACAAUAUACUAUUGCCAGUUCUUAAAUAUUAUUACAACCUACAACUCUUAAUACAUGACAAGCCCAUUUCUUUAUAAACUACUAUUGCAUGUUCUUAAAUAUGACAAGCUACAGCUACUACUAUGAGUUGUUAAUAUAUAACACUGCUGAUCAGGAAUCCUAUCUUAUGGUAUUUAUUGCCAAGUUUGUACGCAUCAUCUUAUCCUUUAUAAUCUUUUGCAGACUCACAGAGCUGCCAUGUUAGCUUAUUAACUUGCCACUAGUCUGAACUUUUGACCUACAGAAUGGAAUAUUGUAAUUCUGAUGGUGUCAUGCGGCUCAAUUAAGAAACGAUUCUACGGAGACAUAUUGAUAAUCCACAUCCUGAUCUUGGUCAAAUAUGUUACAAACUUGAAAAUAGCCACAUCCUAAUUCUGCAUCCUUUCACCUUGUAGUAGUUUUGUUUGUUUGUUGUCAUACCUAGCUUAUUUUUGAGAAUGUGUACCACUCAUCUUAAGCAUUUCUGUAGCAUAUAUGCACAAGUAGAUUUUCUGGGAAUGCUCUUGCUAAUAAUUCUGGGACAUGAAAUCAAAAUGAACUCAAGUCUGUUGAUCAAAUGAUGUUGACAAAAAUAGCAGAACAUUGUUUCCUGUUGUGAUUGAUUCCUGUUGAGAAGGAAGCCCGCACCACUACACUUCACCGCAUAGGAACAAAUAUAUUUGUGUGUAUUCAUGGUCAUAUAACAAUGUUACUCUUGCAUGAACAAUCAAGUGUAAGCUAGCAUGUGCUGCUCUAGCCUAACAAUCUUCAUAUGAGCUUUGAACAACUUUUGGAUUGAUUGGACUUUCUGACAAAUUCAUAUGGAAUAUUUUCAGGUACUUAGCCACCUAGCAUUGGAUGUGAGGAGGACUUUGAGUGUCAUGGAACAUACAUGGCUGUUAGUAGUAUUUUCGACCAACCAACUUCAAUCAUUUCUUGAAUCUUAUGUGUGUUCUAGACCAUUUGGUGCUUCAAGUGUUUUGGAGUAGAAACUUUGUGCUCAGGUAUGUGAUUUGUGUGUUUUGGACCAUUGUUUGAAUUAGUUGAGACUAGCAAUUAGUGGCCCUUUUUAGGUGACUUGUGUGUUUUGGAUGGUCAAACUAUGCUUGUGAACCUGUGUGAAUAUAUAUUUAUGUAUGUUUGCGAACCUAUCAUCGUUGUCGUCCAAUAUGUGUUCAUCUUGAUGCUGUUUGUGGAUCACAUUUAGUAUAUGUAUCAAAUCAUUGGUUUGGCUGUACACUACCUUUCCAACAAUUUAUCUGUUG